rnacentral:rRNA from 1 species
UACGAAGGGGGCUAGCGUUGCUCGGAAUUACUGGGCGUAAAGCGCACGUAGGCGGACUGGAAAGUUGGGGGUGAAAGCCCAGGGCUCAACCCUGGAACUGCCUUCAAAACUCCCAGUCUUGAGGUCGAGAGAGGUGAGUGGAAUUCCGAGUGUAGAGGUGAAAUUCGUAGAUAUUCGGAGGAACACCAGUGGCGAAGGCGGCUCACUGGCUCGAUACUGACGCUGAGGUGCGAAAGCGUGGGGAGCAAACAGG